UACGUAGGGUGCAAGCGUUGUCCGGAAUUAUUGGGCGUAAAGAGCUCGUAGGCGGUUUGUCGCGUCUGCUGUGAAAACUCGGGGCUUAACCCCGGGCCUGCAGUGGGUACGGGCAGACUUGAGUUCGGUAGGGGAGACUGGAAUUCCUGGUGUAGCGGUGAAAUGCGCAGAUAUCAGGAGGAACACCGGUGGCGAAGGCGGCAUCCUGGACCGACAUUGACGCUGAAAACCGAAAGCUAGGGGAGCAAACGGG
rnacentral:rRNA from 1 species